CUCUUGUAUUCUAUUAAAUGGAGCAUCUCGGUCACUGUCCAGCAGUAGUCUGCAAGCAUGAUCGGGCUCAUUUGCCUGAUAGCCUGCUAGGAGAUUCCAC